CUGAGAUUCGUUCAGUGGCACACUAGUAGCUGAUGAGGAAGACCGGCCGAGACCUGAAACCAUCUAACUCCUACAGGACUUAAUCAAUCAGAUCUACUACCUAAAGUGACAUUUACCAUUCUGUCAGAUGCCUCUGGCAGCUAAAUGUUCCCUUACUGAAGUCUGGACCUUAUAAGAUUACCAGUCAUCCAUGAAAAUAAUGUCAUCUGACCUUAAUAAAAGUAUUUAGUCACUGCCCUAAUCUGCAUAUCAACACGAAGUGUCAUCUGUGUCACAUGUGCCUAGCAUGGCAGCUGCUAGGCAUGUUGACCAGACUCAUGGUAGUGAUCAGCCUGUACCUGGUGAUCUCCCUGGAACAAGAACAAGGAAGCCCACUCAUUUGUGCUGUGCUUGCUUCUUGAUGUUCAACCUUAAGAACUCAUUGCCAUCUGUAACACAUGCCCCGAGAGGCAUAAGCACAGAUAGAGACUUUCUUGCCUGGAACAUGCUCCCUGCGGUACACAGGAGUGUGUUCUCACCCAUGCUACGGGAAUUAGUCCUUCUGCCAUGGGCUUCUUCAUAGCAGGGACUUCCACAGGCC
rnacentral:lncRNA from 1 species